rnacentral:lncRNA from 1 species
UAUGCGGUUGUGAUUUCAUACUCGACCUUGUGGAAGACCCUGUAGUUUUCUUUCCCUUGUGUUCAGAGCAUCGUUUUCUUCCUUCAACCGGUGGCCUUUUAGAAAUCGAACCAUCGUCUAAAACCACCCCACAAGAGAAGGUUUCGUUCUCGUCGGAGCCACCGUGAUUCAAAACCAACCGAGGCCGGGAUCUGCUGAAGUUGAAAACUUGAAGCAAAAAGUUGUGGUUCUCUCCAUUUUUGUAUUUGCCAAACUCAUUGUCGUCCGAAACUAGCUUGCUUGCUUUGAUUUUGAUGCCUACUUGCUUUUGAAGGGAGGGCAGAUGCUUUUUGGAGAAAUUGGCUAAUUUCGUAAGAUUUGAUGCACGCUUAUCUAGUUUUUCAAGGAUAUCAUCGUGACGACGUACACCGUUCGAGCCUUUAUUCCAUGCAUAAUCGUAAGUACGGAGAAGCUCAUCUUCAGUUCUCCGAGCAUCUGCCUUGUUUUCCAUCUAUUUAACAUGGGAAAGUAAAAUAACAUUAGGAAUUAGAUUAAAAACCAAAUUUUGGAUGCAAGGAUGAACAUGUAAUAAGAACAUUGAUGAAAAAGUGCAUUUUCACAGCUUGGCCUUCAAAAACCAUAUCAUCUGCAAUUCAUUCAAGACUAAGAGCUCAUAACAGUAUAAAGAAUAUAUAUAUAUAUAUAUCAAGCUAAGCAAUAAAAAUCGAAAAUCUAAAAACCAAUGCAAACCAAAAUGUUUAAACGAUUUAUAAAAUAUAAAUUAAAAAAUCACAGUUAUAACAACAGUUAUUUAAUUUACAAUUAAUUUUAAUUUUAAAUAUUUUAUAUUUAAAUAAUAAAAUAAUUUAAAAACUUUAUAAACUUCAUGUAACUAUUAUUGAUUAUUUUUAUUUACUUAAUUUAAAAAGUUAUUUAUGAAACACUUUUUUGAAAUUCUAUAAAAUAAUGUCCAAAUGCAAUAAAACAAAGCUUGCCAAAAUAAAUCCAAAAAAUAAAAAUAAAAAAUCAAAUAUUUAAAAAAUUUAGGAAAAAAUUUCGACUAAAUCAAACUCGAUACUACAUAGAGAUAUAUAUACAUGGUUUUUGAAACUGAUCAAACUGGAUCCAAGUUCGAUUUAAUAAAUUAUUUUAAAAAUUAUAAAAGUUAAAAAAUAUUAAAAAUAUAAAAUAAAUUCUAACCCUCCAUUCAACUGAUUUUUAUCUCGACUGAGUAAAACCGAAACCUCUUUUUCCGAGCUGAUUUUCAAUCUUACCGGGUAAUCCUGUACAGUUCCAACAAACGAUACCAAUAAAGCUGGAAAGUAGAAAAACAUAUACUCACAGGAGCCCAUCUGUAGGUAAUAGAGUAACCCCUUGCAAAAAUAUCAAACAAAGGACAUCCAUUUUCACCAAAUCCAUUUUUUCCACAGAGAUGAGUACCAUCACGGCCAUGUUGUUGGAGUCUUGCUCUUAUAUUUUCAGCCUUCCCAAGAUAAACCACCAAAUCAGGUUCAAGCUUGCCAUGGCGGUCCCUACUAGGCAGUUUACACACCGCAAGCUCAUAGAUUCCUGUACCUGAAGAUUUUGGAAGAUUUUCAAGCCUGUAUCUGGUCACCGCUCCUCCUUCCCCAUUUUUCCAGUCAUGAGGACCAACAAGAAGCUAAACAAAUGAAAAAAAACCAAAAAGAAGAUCAGAUUAAGGUUUAUAAAUCAAAUUUAAACUGGGUAUAGAUGAUCUUUUUCAGCAAAAUCAAAAGCAUGAUUAAAGUUGGAUUAAGGCAGAUUAAAAAACCUUCCAUUCGGAGAAGUGGGAAUCGUGGUCGGUCUUCUUGUGAUCUUCUCUGUUCGAUCUGUCGACGUGAACGGCCAAUAAUUGCAUUGGAAUCUCAUCUUCUUCACUAUAAGCACCAUUAUGCAAAUGUCUCUGAUUGCACCACUUUAUGGAAGGGCAUUUCUUAUUUAUAAUAAGGUUGAAAUUGCCUUCUUUCUUUUUAAUUUUAUUUAUUUUUUACUUUAGACUUAAUUCGUUUUAUUUUAUUAUUUUAAUACUUAAAUUUUAAAAUUUUCAAAAUAAGAUUUCACUAUAUUUCAUAAAAAUUUAAAAUUUAAAAUUGUAAUAAAUUUUUAAAAAAUUAUCCAUAUUGUCAAUAAAGUAGGUAUAAAUUAUCAUGACAAUGUCAUUAUUUUUAACAAGUCUAUAUUUAGAUUAAAACAGUUUAACUAAAAUUUAAAAAUUAAUAAUUUUAUUUAAAUACAAAAAAUUUAACUAAAUUUUAAAGAUUAAAUGACAACAAAAAAUUAAUUUAUCAUCUUACCUUUAUGUUUUGUCCAUGCCUUCUCCAUCUUUCCCUUAUCUUACUAGUGAAAUAUUUUAAUCCUUAAUACUUAAGUUACAAGUAGUCUCCCGACAGCCGACAGUCAAUCAUUAAAGUGAUAAAUUAUUUGUACGUUGAUGAUAUGAUAGAUUAAGACUCGUGUCAUGAUGUGAUUCGACGGAGUGAAUUUUAGCGUCCUUCGUAAGCUGCCCUCUUGUAGUCUUGUCUUCUUUUACGUGUGAAAAUGAGUUUUUUUUUCUUAAAUGUAAUAAUUUAUUAUACUCAACAUAUUAAAAAAAAUUAUAUACCGAAAUAAGUUAUUAAAUAGAUUAAUUAUCGAAAUGAUAUAUUUUUUAUAACCGUGCCAAUCUGACAGGAGCAAAUUAAUUUUUAUAUUAAUUUUUUUUAAAAAAAUAUUUUUUAUUUUUAAAUACGGUCAACGGGUCAAAAUACAGGUAAAAAUCGAGUCAUUCCAGUCAAAUAGGUGCGAUUAGUCGCUCCUGACAGGUAGGCGCGGAUGGUCCUGCAUAAAUUUAUCUGUAUAGUUGCUGUUAACUCAUUUUAUUUUUUUAUGUCAACUUGGAUAUCAAUUUGUCCAAGUUUAAUAAUAACUGACUCUUUUUAUAAAUUUAUUGAAGAAUAUAAAUCAAUUAUUAACAUACAAAUACUUAACAGUAAUUUAAAAAAAUUUAAAAAUUUAUAAUAACACAUUAAUAGUCUCAAUUAAAAGCGUUUCCCAAAAUUCAUAAUUAAGAUUCUUAUUUUGAGCAAUAGAAAUAGAGUUUUGGCUAUGUGAAAAAAUAUGGGAUAUGGAUAUUUUUAAAUAAUGUAAUUUUGUAUAAUGUAAUUUUUAUAUAAUGUAAUUUUAUUUGAUUUUUUAUUUAUUUAACAAUUUUUAUUGAUUUAUUAAAAUGUUGAUUAAAUUUGUUGUUAUAUAAUUUUAUAGGUUGUUUGAAAUAAACUACUCGGGUAUGUAUUUAUUUCUAUUUUUAUUUUUUAAUUCGUAUGUUUUUAUGUUUAGAUAGUUUAUAUUAAUUUUAAUUAUAUUAUUAUUGUAAUCUAAUAUAAAUUUUUUAUUUUAGGUAAAUUAUGAGGAAUUAUUAGAUAUUUACCGUGUUUUGUUUCUGAAAUUUGAAAUAAUUUAUUGUAUUUAUUGAAACAAAUUAAAUGAAUUUAUUUUUUUAAUUGCAGAUUUGCAGUAAAUGGGUUCUUUGAAUAAUAAUAAUAAUCACAUAUCAAGUACUAUUAAUGAGAUGGUAAUAAAAUUUUUAUUUGAUACUCAUUUUAUUUGUUGAAUUAAAUUAUAUUGUAUUAACUAUUUUGCUAAUUUAAUAAUGUCAGGGUUCGUAUCGCGUAUUGAGGGGCCGUGUUAAUAGUUUAGGGUUUCUGCCAGAUGAACGCAUAAUACCAUACUUAGAGUUGGUCGGGUUCAGAUCAGCGGCAUUAAUCCAGACUUUUGAUCUGCGAUACGACUUGAUUUCUGCUUUAGUCGAGCGAUAGUGUCCGAAGACCCACACAUUUCAUUUGCCGUGCGGAGAGUGUACUGCCACUCUAGUCGGGGGUAUAUAUAGGGGGAAAUUAAGCAGCAGUGGGUCCCACCAGUCGCGCCUGUCAGAUAGGCUCAACUAGUCGUGCCUCUGAGAUCGGCUCAACUAGUCGCGCCUAUCAAAUAGCCACAACCUGUAUUUCGUAUCUAUACCCAGGUUAUAUACUGAUCCGAGAAAUAAAAAAUUAAUAUUUUUUUUAAAAAAAUUUAAUAUAAAAAAUUAAUUCGCACCUGUCAGAUAGGCGCGAUUAAAAAAGCCAUACCAUUUCGGUAAUUAAUCUAUCUGACAACUUAUUUCGGUAUUUAAUUUUUUUAAUAUAUUUGGGUAAAAAACCCUAUAGAAUACUUGUUAAAUUCUUAACUCUGUCUAUAAAAUUUAAAAAUUCUAUUAUACCAAAUAUUUUCCCUCAUAUUUAUCAUUUAUUAUUUUUUAAUAAUUAUUAAUUUUAUAUAAUUAACGUAAGCAAUCGUACCUAAAAGAUAAGUAAAAUAUUUAAAAUAUUCUAAAAAAAAGUAUUAGUAUAAUGUUUAAAAAAUAAAAAUGUUAUAAAUUAAUAAAGAAACAUUUUUCCAUGUAUUUUUUUAUUAACUUUUUUCCCUAUAUUCUUGGCCUCUUUAAAUAUUAAAUACCAUGAAAAUUAACACUAUAUUACAGAAUACCUUUCUCAAUAUUUUCACUAUGUGAAACAAAAUUUUAUUUUACUUACACUUGCAAUUUGUGGGAAAAAAAAAAAAAAGCAACAAAUAAACGAAUCAAUUAAAGUGGGAAAAUUACCUUAUAAAUGGAGGCUAUUACACAAAGCUCAUCUAACCAAAUAUCAGAAUGGCAAUGCGGCAUCGGAGGACAGGGAGAAUCGUAUUUUAUAUCGCUGUUCAUACGUCGUUGUCAGCUGUUCCCCGAUCGGUCUUUGCUUAGUCAGAAAUUUGUAUAGAUUCGCAUAUCGUAUGAACAGCUUAGCAACUCGAAAAGAACCUGUUCGCUCAAUCGACUUGCUUUUUUGCACUUAUGCACCUGUCCUCCAGAGUCUCCUCCAGAGUAUAAGAACCUCAUCAGCUAAAAGGCUGAAAUUGGCAAAAAAAAUUGGGGUUCAUGUAUUUAUUUUUUCAAUAUCAUGAAUCAUGAGAGCCUUGGACCAUCAAAGUAAUAGGCUUCGCACUGUCCGCCCGAAGACUAUCUCCUUUCAAACCAAUCUGGGAGGAGAAUCAUAUUCAACAUAACCUCAAAAGACUUGUUCCGAUAAAAAUCACGAAACAACAAUUUAAAAACAGAUGAUGCAACCCUCUGUUCGGUGAUUUGCUAUCAGAAGAGUUAUAUGAUUAUUCUACAAAGUUUGUAUUCAAAGGCAGAUUGAUUACCUCAGGACUAUCAGCUGGGAACCACCGUAAUAGUACACCAAGACGAACAACAGCUGGAAUCAGCUUGAAAAGCAAUGGAGUAGUCACCUGCAUGGUAAUUUUAUGAGUAAAAUCUGAACCUUGAGAGCUAACUAUGAAAGAACUUUCAGAAAUUGGCAGUAAAAGUACCAUGAAGGCCACUGUAGUGAGAGUCGGGUUGCAUUUUUUCUCCUCCACCCGGAAAAUGAGCGUUUUUGUACAUUAGAUCAAAGAGUAAAUUAGUCAUUCUAUUAAAAUUCCAUCCAUUUAUAUUAUUAACAAAAAUGACUAAUUUGUUCUUUGAUCUAACAUAUAGAAAUUAAUUUACCUUUUUUUGAGUAAAAGAGGCAAAAUAUAGUUUGACUCGUAAUACAGAACCUCCAUAGUAUUUUUACCUGAUUUUGGCUAAUUACAUUUACCUAAGGAAUUUAAUAGUAAAAGUUUCCAUUCUGAUCGGCUAAAUUGAUUUAUUAUUUACUAAACGUUUCGUAUUUGUAUUGUGUCGAAAUUUAUUAGGAACUUCAGGAACUCACAAACUUUACAUUCUGCUUAAUUAUUUAAUUAAUCAAGCAAAAAAAAUUAUUUUACAAAUUAGAGAGAUGUUUUAUCUUUUUCAUUUUAAAUAAAAAUUUUCACUGACUAUAGAUAAAAUAAUUUAUAUUUGUAGUUUAUACAGAAAAAAAAAAGGAUUCACAACAUCCAGAUCAUCCUCAAAAGACAAUAAUACAAAAGCUACAACAUAAUCCAACAGCAGCCUCCAAGUGAAUACAUAAUCAUGUUAUUGUUAAGUUAAUCCUUCGGCUCCAGAACUCACCGAAACAUAUAAAACGGUGACUCUCGAUCGAUCAAUGCUCGGGCCAACCUGCCUCGACCUAUCGGUGCUGCCAACACCUUCCAUUUCCCUUGACUGGUCUCCGGCAGGACGAACGAUUGCGGGUUGGUGCUCCACAAAUGGAUGUACCCUUACUGUCAUUAUUCGAGUUUCGCGGAGUAAAAUCAUUGCUGCUGCUGCGGCUGCCACUAUAUUUUAAGUGCUGCCAACACCUUCCAUUUCCAUUACCUGUUCUCUUGCAGGGAGUACCAUUGCAGGUAGGUACUCCACAAAUGGGUAGACUACAAUUGCUGCUGUUGAGACUUGAAUUCCAGUCGAAAACAUGGGAUGGACUCGUUUCGUCUAAUCCGGAAACAAGAGUGGUAAUCGUCAUCCCCGUAUGAUUUUCAUAAAAAACUGAAGCUUCUUCAUCAGAAUAUGAAUUGAAAACAGCAUAUGGCAUUGUUUGAAAUCUUGUUAUCUCGGAAUCGGAGCUAUAAAUUCUCCUCCCUUUAUGCAAAUCACAUCUUUUUCUCCCGGAAACGGGUUGCCUUCUACAAAGAGAACCAUCAUCCAUGGCAACCCCACAAAUAGGACUACAAUGCUCGAUUUCGGGAUAGUCCUCUUUAUGCGUUUGUGAUUUCAUACUCAACCUCAUGGAAGACCCUGUAGUUUUCUUUCCCUUGUGUUCAGCGCAUCGUUUUCUUCCUUCAACCGGCGGCCUUUUACAAAUCGAACCAUCAUCUAAAACCACCCCACAAGAGAAGGUUUCGUUCUCGUUGGAGCCACCGUGAUUCGAAACCAACCGAGGCCGGGAUCUGCUGAAGUUGAAAACUAGAAGCAAAAAGUUGUGGUUCUCUCCAUUUUUGUAUUUGCCAAACUCAUUGUCG